UGUGUGUGUGUGUGUGUGUGCGUUUUAUUUGCACAAAGACUCAUGGACAAGCACAAAAAGCAAAUCAUCUUUUGCAACAUAGAAUUUACUGUUCAGGAUGAGCCUGGAUACAUAAAAGAAGGAAUACU